rnacentral:rRNA from 1 species
AUUGGACGCUGGCGGCAUGCCUUACACAUGCCAGUCGAACGGUAACAGGUCUUCGGAUGCUGACGAGUGGCGAACGGGUGAGUAAUACAUCGGAACGUGCCCGAUCGUGGGGGAUAACGCAGCGAAAGCUGUGCUAAUACCGCAUACGAUCUACGGAUGAAAGCGGGGGAUCGCAAGACCUCGCGCGGACGGAGCGGCCGAUGGCAGAUUAGGUAGUUGGUGGGAUAAAAGCUUACCAAGCCGACGAUCUGUAGCUGGUCUGAGAGGACGACCAGCCACACUGGGACUGAGACACGGCCCAGACUCCUACGGGAGGCAGCAGUGGGGAAUUUUGGACAAUGGGCGCAAGCCUGAUCCAGCCAUGUCGCGUGCAGGAUGAAGGCCUUCGGGUUGUAAACUGCUUUUGUACGGAACGAAAAAGCUCUCUCUAAUACAGGGGGUGAAUGACGGUACCGUAAGAAUAAGCACCGGCUAACUACGUG